rnacentral:rRNA from 1 species
UACGUAGGGAGCGAGCGUUGUCCGGAAUUACUGGGUGUAAAGGGAGCGUAGGCGGGAUGGUAAGUUAGGUGUGAAAACUAUGGGCUCAACCUAUAGACUGCACUUAAAACUGCUGUUCUUGAGUGAAGUAGAGGCAGGCGGAAUUCCUAGUGUAGCGGUGAAAUGCGUAGAUAUUAGGAGGAACAUCAGUGGCGAAGGCGGCCUGCUGGGCUUUUACUGACGCUGAGGCUCGAAAGCGUGGGGAGCAAACAGGAUUAGAUACCCUGGUA